UUCUCGGUCGUAUAACGGUCAGUAUACAAGCUUGUCAUUUCUCUUCGAGUUUCGAUUCGCUUGUGAUCCGGGUUCGAUUCCCGGCCGGGAAG